AUCAAAGGGGAGGUGCAUGCAAUUAAUUGUCAUUAAAUUCUUUAAUCACUUGACAGCCCUACCUCUCUGAAACCUCUCUGAAAGCUCCCCUAGCCUCAUAUGCUUCCGUCCGCUAGUAUGUAGAAUGGAGAAUAGAAAGUCCAAGGGACAGCUAACAGAGAGUUUCGUGAGGGAGUUCUCCGGGUGAAAGAGGAGCAAUUAUGGGACCCUUGGGAGGGGCAAUCAUUCCAUUCCACCAAAGGAAGAAAGGUUGUCGUCCUGCAGACCAGGAAAGAAGCCCUACAGCUCUUUCAUUUGUUUCAUAACCGUCCAUAUGGUGGACAUCUAGGAAGAAUCAAAACGAGAACUUCACGAACAUCAAGAUUCUGUUGGCCGGGGCGACAAACGACAUUGUCGAUUGGUUGCACGGUGUCUGGAUUGCCAGAAAAUGGGAACAGAAUUAAAUCUGGAUACCACCUCGAAAAGCAUAAAGUUCUACCUGUUUGCCAAUAAUGAGGAAUAGAACAUUGUUUCAGCAGCCCGUAAUAAAUCCAUCCAGAGAGCAUUAAAGAACACGGUUAAUGAUGAGCAGAAUAAUUGGGAUGAAUUCCUUGACAGCAUUUUAUUUUCUGUGUGGACUACCAUGCAUUCAACAACAAAAUGUACACCCUUUGGACUAAUGUAUAAUGAUGACUCAAUGUUUCCAGAUGAAUCAUAGAAUCAUAGAACUGGAAGAGACCUUAGAAGGCCAUCAAGUCCAGCCCUCUGCCCAAGGCAGGACCAAUCCCAAUGAAGUCCCACAUGAGUACACAGUAGGUGUAUGCACAUCGCUUUCAUACACAUCUGGUAUUCUGUGAGUCUUCAUUUUAAAAAUACAAGCUCUCCUACAUUUAUUUACCAAGGUACCAGCUAUAAAUGAACUCGGUGAAGAGUUCUGCAAAGAGUACAGCAGAAAUAUGGAAGCUAGAUGGAUGCUGAUGUUGCAUUGGCUCUUGGUAAUAUUGAGACAGCACAAGGAAAAACAACAAAAACAGUAUACCUAAAGAAACACUGUCUAAAUAUGGGGAAGUAACACAUAGUGUGGGGGACUGUGUUCUCCUCCUGGAUGCAAGGAAGACUGCCAAAUAAAACCCAUCAGGGACCAUACAAAAUUAACACUGUGGAGGGUAAAAGAGUAAAAUUGGAAAGUUUCUCCAGGAAACCUUUAGCAACCACGUAUAGCAUCUCUCAUCUAAAACCAUUUAAAGAGCCUCCCGCAGCAGCUUCUGAAACUAUAUCAAAGAAAUCCAUUGAAACAGAAAUUGCUGUUGGUGACACUGAACCAAAACCACUCUCAGAAGAUAUUGGAAAACUGGAUGACGAUGUAUCUACAAGUCUUAUGACAAAACAGUAACAACUAAGGAGGUCCUAGCAAUGGAACAACAGGAGAGUGUAGUGCAAGAUAUUUCCAGCAGUGAUACAAGUGGUGAUGACCAGGGUUUCACAAACGGCGGCAAAAAGAGCCACAUUGUGCAUGCGCAUGCUGCAAAUGAACAGGGCACGCGGCUGAAAUCUACUCACCAUGGGCGAGUAGAUUGUAUAGUUUGUCGAGCCCUGGUGAUGACAGUGUUGAUGGCAUCGUGGUAGGGGAAGACACAGACUGGAUUUGGAAAGGUAACUGGUUACCACCCCUUUCAUAAGAAACAUUUUUAAACAUAGGUCCAUUUCUUUCUUAAGUAUGGUAAAAGUUUUCAUGUAAGAAGUAGCAUCAUUCACAGUAGUAAAACAGAGGAAAGCCAGCUGUAGCACCGUGCGUGUAAUAUGUGUUCCCUUUUUUUAUUAGUGUAAAUUGCAGUUAUCCCCAAACAGACACAGACCUGAGGCCAAAGUGAGGAAAACAACUUGGAUGGCUCUUCAUUUUAUUGUCUGAAACCAAGGAAAUGGAUGACUGAUGAGAUAGCACUGCUGAAAACAUCAGAAUUGAUCCCUUGUGGAAUGAGAUGAAAUAUGAAAGAACAUGCCUGAGGAAUUGGAGUGAUUUUUUUUUCACAUACUUCUUUUUAUAGUGUACAUGGAGUGUUACUGUGAAAAUGUUUUCAAGAAAUUUAAUAAUAGCGAUGCUAAUGUAUUCCUGGUAACUACAAAGAAUAACGGGGAAGACAAGGAUUUACACCGGAUGUGCUUAGUAAUGUAAAUUGCUCUAACUUGUGUGAUUGAACCUGGCUAACCACUCAUGGUAUAUGGACACAAAAGAGUAGCAUGAACGGGAAGCUGUUGGUAACACAGGGCACAGCUGAUAAGGUGAUAUAUGGUUAUACGUGAGACAAUAAUCAAAGCAAGUGUGUUUCUAGAAGCAGUGAGUCAUUGCAGUCCGUGGUGACAGAACGAGGGAAAGGAUUUCUAAACAUGUACAGAAACGGAAAACAAAAAUUCAAAAUCCAUUUAUAUCUGGCAGCAGGAGUAGGUGGGCAUUUGGGAGAUCACGCCACUUCUUAAAACCUCAAGAAGGAGCACCGGUGAAAGUAAGGGGGUGCACUGAGCUGAGGCAAAAGCCAGCCGGUAGCUGUUAAAAAAUGGCAGGGCCCCAGGUUCUGCUAGGAUAGUACCUAUAAGAAAUUUAAGUUCCUUUCACCCAUGAGAAGGAGCCAUAUUUGAGGAACCCAACGGAGUCCAGAGUGACUGAGGGAAAGCCAAGCCUAAGGAAUCCAGUAAAGUCCAUUGGCAUGUUCAAUGUCAGGAAAGCCAUAAUCUAAGAGCCCUGUGUAGCACACACAUAAUUAUAUAUUUUCAUCUUCUGUAUACAAUCUACUAUGAGUAGUCUCUUAUUUUUGUAACUUGUAUGGACAUCAUUUUUUGGGUGGGUGGAACUUGGAAAAGUACUACCGUAUUUUCCGGCGUAUAAGGCGACUGGGCGUAUAAGACGGCCACCUAAUUUUCUAGUUAAAAGAAAUAUGGCUCCCCCCCCCUUAAGAGGCCAACCG